rnacentral:misc_RNA from 1 species
AACGCACCUUGCACCCUUUGGCAUUCCGAAGGGUAUGCUCGUUUGAGUGUCAUUGUACUCUCACACUUCCAUUCUUUGGAUUGGGAGCGGUGGACUUGGGUGUUGCUGCUUGACUGCAGCUCACCUUAAAUGCGUUAGUGCAACUCUUGGUUGGACAUAGUAUGGUGUGAUAAGUGUCUUCACCAGAAAACCUCAUAGAGGGUGGCUGAUCAGGAGCUCUGUGCUUCAAACUGUCUUCGGACAACAACUGACAACUUGACCUCAAAUCGAGUAGGACCACCCGCUGAACUUAA